AUUGAACGCUGGCGGCAUGCUUUACACAUGCAAGUCGAACGGCAGUACGGGUUUCGGCCUGGUGGCGAGUGGCGAACGGGUGAGUAAUACAUCGGAACGUACCCAGAAGUGGGGGAUAACGUAGCGAAAGUUACGCUAAUACCGCAUACGUUCUACGGAAGAAAGUGGGGGAUCGCAAGACCUCAUGCUUUUGGAGCGGCCGAUGUCUGAUUAGCUAGUUGGUGAGGUAAAGGCUCACCAAGGCGACGAUCAGUAGCUGGUCUGAGAGGACGACCAGCCACACUGGAACUGAGACACGGUCCAGACUCCUACGGGAGGCAGCAGUGGGGAAUUUUGGACAAUGGGCGCAAGCCUGAUCCAGCAAUGCCGCGUGAGUGAAGAAGGCCUUCGGGUUGUAAAGCUCUUUUGUCAGGGAAGAAACGGUAGAGGCUAAUAUCCUUUGCUAAUGACGGUACCUGAAGAAUAAGCACCGGCUAACUACGUGCCAGCAGCCGCGGUAAUACGUAGGGUGCAAGCGUUAAUCGGAAUUACUGGGCGUAAAGCGUGCGCAGGCGGUUUUGUAAGUCUGACGUGAAAGCCCCGGGCUCAACCUGGGAAUUGCGUUGGAGACUGCAAGGCUUGAAUCUGGCAGAGGGGGGUAGAAUUCCACGUGUAGCAGUGAAAUGCGUAGAGAUGUGGAGGAACACCGAUGGCGAAGGCAGCCCCCUGGGUCAAGAUUGACGCUCAUGCACGAAAGCGUGGGGAGCAAACAGGAUUAGAUACCCUGUAGU
rnacentral:rRNA from 1 species